GAUGAACGCUAGCGGCAGGCUUAACACAUGCAAGUCGAGGGGCAGCAUAAUGAAGUAGCAAUACGGAAUUGAUGGCGACCGGCGCACGGGUGCGUAACGCGUAUGCAACCUACCCAUAACAGGGGGAUAACACUGAGAAAUUGGUACUAAUACCCCAUAAUACUUUGGAAGGCAUCUUUUGGAGUUGAAAGUUCAGGCGGUUAUGGAUGGGCAUGCGUUGUAUUAGCUAGAUGGUGGGGUAAAUGGCUCACCAUGGCUACGAUACAUAGGGGGACUGAGAGGUUAACCCCCCCACACUGGUACUGAGACACGGACCAGACUCCUACGGGAGGCAGCAGUGAGGAAUAUUGGUCAAAUGGACGCAAGUCUGAACCAGCCAUGCCGCGUGCAGGAAGACGGCUCUAUGAGUUGUAAACUGCUUUUUGUACAAAGGGUAAACCCUGGGACGUGUCCCAGGCUGAAAGUACUGUACGAAUAAAGGAUCGGCUAAACUCCGUGCC
rnacentral:rRNA from 1 species